rnacentral:rRNA from 1 species
GACGAACGCUGGCGGCGUGCUUAACACAUGCAAGUCGAACGGUAAGGCCCUUCGGGGUACACGAGUGGCGAACGGGUGAGUAACACGUGGGUGAUCUGCCCUGCACUUCGGGAUAAGACUGGGAAACUGGGUCUAAUACCGGAUAGGACCACUGCCUGCAUGGGUGGUGGUGGAAAGCUUUUGCGGUGUGGGAUGGGCCCGCGGCCUAUCAGCUUUUUGGUGGGGUGAUGGCCUACAAAGGCGACGACGGGUAGCCGGCCUGAGAGGGUGACCGGCCACACUGGGACUGAGAUACGGCCCAGACUCCUACGGGAGGCAGCAGUGGGGAAUAUUGCACAAUGGGCGCAAGCCUGAUGCAGCGACGCCGCGUGAGGGAUGACGGCCUUCGGGUUGUAAACCUCUUUCAGCACCGACGAAGCGCAAGUGACGGUAGGUGCAGAAGAAGGACCGGCCAACUACGUGCCAGCCGCCGCCGUAA